rnacentral:rRNA from 1 species
UGGGGAAUAUUGGACAAUGGGCGAAAGCCUGAUCCAGCCAUGCCGCGUGUGUGAAGAAGGUCUUCGGAUUGUAAAGCACUUUAAGUUGGGAGGAAGGGCAGUAAGCGAAUACCUUGCUGCUUUGACGAUACCGACAGAAUAAGCACCGGCUAACUCUGUGCCAGCAGCCGCGGUAAUACAGAGGGUGCAAGCGUUAAUCGGAAUUACUGGGCGUAAAGCGCGCGUAGGUGGUUCGUUAAGUUGAAUGUGAAAGCCCCGGGCUCAACCUGGGAACUGCAUCCAAAACGGGCGAGCUAGAGUAGGGCAGAGGGUGGUGGAAUUUCCUGUGUAGCGGUGAAAUGCGUAGAUAUAGGAAGGAACACCAGUGGCGAAGGCGACCACCUGGGCUCAUACUGACACUGAGGUGCGAAAGCGUGGGGAGCAAACAGG